UGAUGAGGCAUGCAAGUCGAACGGAAUAAUGACUUCGGUUGUUAUUUAGUGGCGGAAGGGUUAGUAAUACAUAGAUAAUCUGUCCUCAACUUGGGAAUAACGGUUGGAAACGACCGCUAAUACCGAAUGUGGUAUGUUUAGGCAUCUAAAACAUAUUAAAGAAGGGGAUCUUCGGACCUUUCGGUUAAGGAAGAGUCUAUGGGAUAUCAGCUUGUUGGUGGGGUAAUGGCCUACCAAGGCUUUGACGUCUAGGCGGAUUGAGAGAUUGACCGCCAACACUGGGACUGAGACACUGCCCAGACUUCUACGGAAGGCUGCAGUCGAGAAUCUUUCGCAAUGGACGAAAGUCUGACGAAGCGACGCCGCGUGUGUGAUGAAGGCUCUAGGGUUGUAAAGCACUUUCGCUUGGGAAUAAGAGAAAUUGGCUAAUAUCCAAUUGAUUUGAGCGUACCAGGUAA
rnacentral:rRNA from 1 species